rnacentral:rRNA from 1 species
GGUAAUGGCCUACCAAGGCGACGACGGGUAGCCGGCCUGAGAGGGUGACCGGCCACACUGGGACUGAGACACGGCCCAGACUCCUACGGGAGGCAGCAGUGGGGAAUAUUGCACAAUGGGCGGAAGCCUGAUGCAGCGACGCCGCGUGAGGGAUGACGGCCUUCGGGUUGUAAACCUCUUUCAGCACGGAAGAAGCGAAAGUGACGGUACGUGCAGAAGAAGCGCCGGCUAACUACGUGCCAGCAGCCGCGGUAAUACGUAGGGCGCAAGCGUUGUCCGGAAUUAUUGGGCGUAAAGAGCUCGUAGGCGGUUUGUCGCGUCUGCUGUGAAAGCCCGGGGCUUAACCCCGUGGUGUGCAGUGGGUACGGGCAGACUAGAGUGCAGUAGGGGAGACUGGAAUUCCUGGUGUAGCGGUGAAAUGCGCAGAUAUCAGGAGGAACACCGAUGGCGAAGGCAGGUCUCUGGGCUGUUACUGACGCUGAGGAGCGAAAGCAUGGGGAGCGAACAGGAUUAGAUACCCUGGUAGUCCAUGCCGUAAACGUUGGGCACUAGGUGUGGGGGACAUUCCACGUUUUCCGCGCCGUAGCUAACGCAUUAAGUGCCCCGCCUGGGGAGUACGGCCGCAAGGCUAAAACUCAAAGGAAUUGACGGGGGCCCGCACAAGCGGCGGAGCAUGCGGAUUAAUUCGAUGCAACGCGAAGAACCUUACCAAGGCUUGACAUACACCAGACCGGCCCAGAGAUGGGUUUUCCUCUUUGAGGUUGGUGUACAGGUGGUGCAUGGUUGUCGUCAGCUCGUGUCGUGAGAUGUUGGGUUAAGUCCCGCAACGAGCGCAACCCUCGUUCUAUGUUGCCAGCACGUGAUGGUGGGGACUCAUAGGAGACUGCCGGGGUCAACUCGGAGGAAGGUGGGGAUGACGUCAAAUCAUCAUGCCCCUUAUGUCUUGGGCUUCACGCAUGCUACAAUGGCCGGUACAAUGGGUUGCGAUACCGUGAGGUGGAGCUAAUCCCAAAAAGCUGGUCUCAGUUCGGAUCGUGGUCUGCAACUCGACCACGUGAAGUCGGAGUCGCUAGUAAUCGCAGAUCAGCAACGCUGCGGUGAAUACGUUCCCGGGCCUUGUACACACCGCCCG